AAAAAUUACCAACUUCUAAAUUUUAUUUCCAAUGCAGGGAUGUGGAAAACAACCAAAUGUCAAUUACAAGGUCGGGCCGAGCUAUCUUUCUGUGUGUGCACAGUUGUGUGUCCCCGUCCAACCCCCCGCCCCCGUACAGUAUCCCCUUUCAGACCAACAUGGCAUAAGUCAUAACUAUAUUUAGGAAUUCAUGUUGAGGAAAAUCUUACUGCUGGAUUCAAGUCUGAGAAGGAGAGGAAAACCCUCCUCAAGCAGAAGAAAGCAUCUCUUCAGCGCACACUUCACGACCAAUCAAAAGAGCUCACGAGUUGCUAUUUACAAAACUUAGACGGGCAGGUGAGGGUCCAGAAACAGAUUGAACAGGGCUGUAAAUUCUCUCUACAGUAAAAUGUAAAUUUUGGUUUCUUCUCGUAGCACAGCCGGAGGUCAACGUAGGGGAUGCUGCAAAGUUUCUGCCUGACGUUGAAGAAAGACACGCAGGCAGUUUGAGGCACCAGCACCCUUUGCUGAAUACACAGAAAAGCAGCCACUUGUUUACCGUUGGAUAACUUUGUGGGGAAAGGCACUGAGCCCGCGGACCGCGGCGGGCGCUCUAGCCAAUGAACCUCUCGGCCGGCCACGUCUCCGGGGCGUUGGCGGGGAUGCGUGGAGCCUCCUGCCCUGGCGGGGCCAGGGCCUCCAUCUCGCGCACCACCUGCGUGAACACGCGGUCCACCAUCAUUUUGCUCUUGGCCGUGAUCUCCAGGAAAGGGCAGCGCCACUCGCGGGCCAGCGCGCGGCCCUGAGCCGUCAGUACUUGGCGCUCGGCGUCCAGGUCGACCUUGGUGCCCACCAACACCAGCGGGACGGCGCGCGAGCCCCGCAGCCGGCCCAUGCGCUCCCGCAGCGGCCGCACAGC
rnacentral:lncRNA from 1 species